rnacentral:rRNA from 1 species
GAUGAACGCUGGCGGCGUGCCUAAUACAUGCAAGUCGAGCGAACGGACGAGAAGCUUGCUUCUCUGAUGUUAGCGGCGGACGGGUGAGUAACACGUGGAUAACCUACCUAUAAGACUGGGAUAACUUCGGGAAAUCGUAGCUAAUACCGGAUAAUAUUUUGAACCGCAUGGUUCAAAAGUGAAAGACGGUCUUCCUGUCACUUAUAGAUGGAUCCGCGCUGCAUUAGCUAGUUGGUAAGGUAACGGCUUACCAAGGCAACGAUGCAUAGCCGACCUGAGAGGGUGAUCGGCCACACUGGAACUGAGACACGGUCCAGACUCCUACGGGAGGCAGCAGUAGGGAAUCUUCCGCAAUGGGCGAAAGCCUGACGGAGCAACGCCGCGUGAGUGAUGAAGGUCUUCGGAUCGUAAAACUCUGUUAUUAGGGAAGAACAUAUGUGUAAGUAACUGUGCACAUCUUGACGGUACCUGAUCAGAAAGCCACGGCUAACUACGUG